AGCGAACGCUGGCGGCAGGCCUAACACAUGCAAGUCGAACGAACUCUUCGGAGUUAGUGGCGGACGGGUGAGUAACACGUGGGAACGUGCCUUUAGGUUCGGAAUAACUCAGGGAAACUUGUGCUAAUACCGAAUGUGCCCUUCGGGGGAAAGAUUUAUCGCCUUUAGAGCGGCCCGUGUCUGAUUAGCUAGUUGGUGAGGUAAAGGCUCACCAAGGCGACGAUCAGUAGCUGGUCUGAGAGGAUGAUCAGCCACAUUGGGACUGAGACACGGCCCAAACUCCUACGGGAGGCAGCAGUGGGGAAUCUUGCGCAAUGGGCGAAAGCCUGACGCAGCCAUGCCGCGUGAAUGAUGAAGGUCUUAGGAUUGUAAAAUUCUUUCACCGGGGACGAUAAUGACGGUACCCGGAGAAGAAGCCCCGGCUAACUUCGUG
rnacentral:rRNA from 1 species